GUACGGGGGGGCAAGCGUUGUUCGGAAUUACUGGGCGUAAAGGGCGCGUAGGCGGCCUUCUAAGUCAGACGUGAAAUCCCUCGGCUCAACCGAGGAACUGCGUCUGAUACUGGAAGGCUUGAAUCCGGGAGAGGGAUGUGGAAUUCCAGGUGUAGCGGUGAAAUGCGUAGAUAUCUGGAGGAACACCGGUGGCGAAGGCGGCAUCCUGGACCGGUAUUGACGCUGAGGCGCGAAAGCUAGGGGAGCAAACGGG
rnacentral:rRNA from 1 species